GACGAACGCUGGCGGCGUGCUUAACACAUGCAAGUCGAACGGAAAGGCCCUGCUUUUGUGGGGUGCUCGAGUGGCGAACGGGUGAGUAACACGUGAGUAACCUGCCCUUGACUUUGGGAUAACUUCAGGAAACUGGGGCUAAUACCGGAUAGGAGCUCCUGCUGCAUGGUGGGGGUUGGAAAGUUUCGGCGGUUGGGGAUGGACUCGCGGCUUAUCAGCUUGUUGGUGGGGUAGUGGCUUACCAAGGCUUUGACGGGUAGCCGGCCUGAGAGGGUGACCGGCCACAUUGGGAUUGAGAUACGGCCCAGACUCCUACGGGAGGCAGGGGUGGGGAAUAUGGCACACUGGGCGGAGGCCUGAUGCAGCAACGCCGCGUGCGGGAUGACGGCCUUCGGGUGGUAAACCGCUUUCGCCUGUGACGAAGCGUGAGUGACGGUAAUGGGUAAAGAAGCACCGGCUAACUACGU
rnacentral:rRNA from 1 species